GAUGAAGAACGCAGCGAAAUGCGAUAAGUAGUGUGAAUUGCAGAAUUCAGUGAAUCAUCGAAUCUUUGAACGCACAUUGCGCCCUCUGGUAUUCCGGAGGGCAUGCCUGUUCGAGCGUCAUUAAAACUACUCAAGCUAAGGUUUUACCUUCUGCUUGGUCUUGGGUUUGAGGAUUCAAAAUCCUCUCUCCGAAAUCCAGUGGCGAAUUGUUUGAGCUGUAGACGUAGUAAAUCAUUCUACCCGUUGCAAGCGAGAAUAAUAUUCAGCCAUAACCCCCAUACUUUUCUAGUUUGACCUCGGAUCAGGUAGGGAUACCCGCUGAACUUAAGCAUAUCAAUAAGCUGAGGA
rnacentral:misc_RNA from 1 species